CGCCCCCUAGCGUCAUUCCGUCAGCUUCUGUCGCUCGGCACGUCCAAGCGAGAACUAAAGCUGUGGGGUGGCUGCAGCCUGAGAAUAACUCUUUCCGGAGUAGGAUUCGUGUAGGGGAGGUUAAACUAAAAGUUUUUAGUCUGCGAAAUUCUUUUUGGUUUAUUUUCUUUAAGGCUGACAGAAAUACUGGUCGACCACCGCGAAGAUGGCGGCGGCAGUUACCGUGAAUGCUGUUCCUUUAAAGAAGGCUCGUGGUUAUUCACCUGCUCAAAGGCUGUAUAUUAUGAAGUGCAUUGCUUGGUAGAAAGCCAGAGGGGUAUGUUGUCAACUGAAUUGGAAGAAGAUUUGCCCUAUUCUUGGCAAUGGCAUCCUGACCUUUAGUUAUGGUGUGAGGACUACUUUCAAGCAUUGUGAAAAAAACUGAAUUCCACUGCUGAACAUUGCUGACUUGGUGAUUCUAUAGAUGAUUCUUAGCUGUGAAGAAGGCGGAUUCAUCAUCUGCCAAGUAAGUGUUACCUCAACAGCAGUUUCAGGGGGCCCUGGGGAGUUGGGGGGACAUGGCAAAGAAGACAACACAUGAUAUAACUUUUCAGGGCCCCUUAUGGAGGGGGAGAUAGGAGAUGGGGUUGCUGGAAGGUGGGGGGACAUAUACAAUAUGAAGAUAUACAAUGUAAUCUUCAGAUGUUGAGUCUGCUAAUCAGAUCUGAUUGAGCACUCUACACUCUUCUAUGCAAACCAGGCUGCUCCAAUGUCAGUUCCUUGAUUGGUUCAUUUAGCAUGCCUUAUUAGCAUGCACUUUCAGUUUUCUGAUGGAUCCAGGUAGCAUGCCUCAUUAGUAUAUACUGUCAGUUCUCUGGUUAGCAUAGCAUGUCUCAUUAGCAUACACUUUCAGCCCCCUGAUUGAUUGUUAUUCCAGCCCUCUGAUUGGUUGUUAUCCCUGCUUCCUGAUUGGUUGUUAUUCUAGUCCCCUGAUUGGCUGUUAUCCCUAGCUUCUGAUUGGCUGUUAUUCUGAUCCCUUGAUUGUUUAAAUCUAUAUUUGGUUUUCAGAAAGCAGCUAAUCAGAGAGAGCCACUUUGUGUAUAAAAGAGCCAGCACUGGCAAACUUCUCUGGCCACUCCUCCCUUGGAGUCCCCCUCCUGAUUCCUGUGGCAGGAAGUUUCUCACUUUGAAUAAAUCUUGCUUUGCUCACUGUCCCUGUCUGCAUGGAAAUUCUGCAAUGUGAGAUAAGAACUGAUAUCACCCUCAUCAUCCCACAACAAGGGGAUUGGGGGAGUUUUGCAUGUCUACCAAAAAUGUGGAAUCUUUACCAUGGAAGAAUCACCAACUUCCUGGAAGCAGGAAAAUUCAAUAGUCCCUGCUCAUCUGCAGGAGAUACAUUCCAGGACCUCCAGUGGAAGCCUGAAACUUCAGAUGGUACUGAAUGUACAUAAAUCCAUUGUUUUUUCCUGCACAUAUAUAUCUAUGAUAAAGUUAAUUUAUAAAUUAGGCACAAUGAGAGAUUAACAAUAAUUUACCAUAGAUCUCAGCAACCUCAGCAUAUUAUUUCUUUUUUCCUCAUUAAAUUGAAGACUUUCAUCUUUUCACUGAAAGUACUUUAUGGCUUCUCACUGGCAUAUCUGAAUUGCCAGCAUAACUACUAUUAUGCUUUGGGCCCAUUAUUAAGUAAAAUAAAGUUUACUUAAACACAAAUAGUGCAAUACGACAGCACUCAAUCUGAUAGCCAAGAUGCCUAUGGUGGGUAGCAUGUAUAAUGUGAAUAGUCUGUGGGGUGGCUCUGUGGCAUAGAAGGUUAAGCCUUGAUCUGCAGAGUUGGAUACUUAGGCAUAACUAAAAUUUUAAGACAUAAGAAUAUCCUCCACUUAAUACACUAAAGUGAAAUAAAUCUUUGAGAACAAGUUUUGCUAUUAACUCUCAUAAUACAACUCACUGAGGACAGAGGUCCCGCAUGGGGACUCCUGUUGUUAAUUUAACAAUUAACACUCUUAUGUAUGACAUCAGUGAUUACCCAAGGCUCUUGACAUGAGCUGUCAAGGCUAUGGAAGCCUUUUGAAUCAACGAACUCCGUCAGUAUUUAGACAAGGCUAUAAGCAAAGUGGAAGUUCUCUCCUCCCUUCAGAGAAAAGUACAUCCUUCUUUGAUGAUCACUUCUUUCCCUUGGGGUCUCACCCACAGAGGUCAUUCAUGUAGGACAUUUUUUGCCUCAUUGUCUUGUGUGCCCAAUUUUUAAUUGAGUGAUUUCUUGCUAUUGACUUGCUUGUGUUCCUUACAUAUUUUGGUUCUUAACCCCUUAUCAGAUGUAUGUUUUAUAUUUUGAAUCUUAACCUCUUAUCAGAUAUAUGCUUUAUAAAUAUUUUCUCUUGGGGUUGGCACUGUGGCAUAGCAGAAUCCCAAAUGGGCACCAGUUUGAGUCCUGGCUGAUGUACUUCCAAUAUAGCUCUCUGCUAUGGCGUGGGAAAGCAGUAGAAGAUAGCCCAAGUGCUUGGGUCCCUGCACCCAUGUGGGAGACCCAGAAGAACUCCUGGCUCCUAGCUUCGGAUUGGCACAGCUCUGGCCAUUGCGGCUAAUUGGGGAGUGAACCAGUGGAUGGAAGACCUCUCUCUCUCUCUUUCUGCCUAUCCUUCUCUCUGUGUAAUUCUGAGUUUAAAGUAAAUAAAUAAAUCUUUAAAAAAUAUUUUCUUUCAUUAUGUAGGUUAUUUCUUCGUUGUUUGUUGUUUCUCUUGAUGUGCAGAAACUUUUUAGUUUGAUGUAAUACCAUUUGUUCAUUUUUUUGUUUUCUCUGCUUUUGGGGGUCUUCUCCAAAAAUUUGUUGCCAAGAUGCAUAUCAAGUAAUCCUGCUUUCUUUUAGUAGUUUAAAGUUUAAGGGCUUGUAAUCAAUUUUGAGUUCAGAUAUGGGUACAAUUUCAUUUUUCUGUGUGUGGCUAUCCAAUUUUCCCAGCACCAUUUAUUGAAGAGAUUGUUCUUUCUCCAUUGUGUGUUCUUGACACCUUUUGGAAAAAAAGUCAUUAAUUAUA